rnacentral:lncRNA from 1 species
GGUUUAGGCGUUCAGACAAAGACAAUGGACUUGCACAUGGAUUUAAUAGGGAAGUAGCAUAAUCAUAGUAUUAUACAAAACAGAUACGGAACAGAUAUGUAGUACAACUACAUAGGUCUGUGUCCCAAGAAAGAUAACUCAAUUCUUACAAUGAUAAAGUAGGAUAUUACAUUCCUCCCUUUGUUGAAUUUAUGAAUCUAUAAUAAGAUAAAUUUCAAAAGAGAAUUAUAAAAUUUAAAAAUAAAG